rnacentral:rRNA from 1 species
AGUGAACGCUGGCGGUAGGCCUAACACAUGCAAGUCGAACGGCAGCACAGUAAGAGCUUGCUCUUACGGGUGGCGAGUGGCGGACGGGUGAGGAAUACAUCGGAAUCUCCUUUUUCGUGGGGGAUAACGUAGGGACACUUACGCUAAUACCGCAUACGACCUACGGGUGAAAGCAGGGGAUCUUCGGACCUUGCGCGAUUGAAUGAGCCGAUGUCGGAUUAGCUAGUUGGCGGGGUAAAGGCCCACCAAGGCGACGAUCCGUAGCUGGUCUGAGAGGAUGAUCAGCCACACUGGAACUGAGACACGGUCCAGACUCCUACGGGAGGCAGCAGUGGGGAAUAUUGGACAAUGGGCGCAAGCCUGAUCCAGCCAUACCGCGUGGGUGAAGAAGGCCUUCGGGUUGUAAAGCCCUUUUGUUGGGAAAGAAAAGCAGCAGGUUAAUACCCCGCUGUUCUGACGGUACCCAAAGAAUAAGCACCGGCUAACUUCGUG